UUGUUGUGAAUGCAUUCCCCAGAAUCUGGCCUGAUGGAUACAAAAAGAAAAUUUGAUCCUCAUUCGAGAAGACAUGCACCUCACCCCCAGAAGUGGGUCAGAAAAAUGGGCAUCCUGCCAUACCCCAAAGUGCACCCUACAAAUGAGUCAAUUGAAGGUACUUUGGAAAUUAAGUCAUUAAGUAGAUUGAAGAAUAAUGAUUGAAGUUUAUUCAGUGUACUAUAUGUUUCCUUCCGCUGAAAAGCCAAGGGCUAUGUCUUUCCUUCCUGUCUUCUCUGCUCCUCUCCUUUGCCUUCCUUCGUCCACCAGACAGGUGGCCCUGCGGCAGCUCUGUCCAUGCUUGUUUCCCAACCACAUCCAUGCAACCUGUCUCCUUGCCCAAGUCAGCCAAGCCUCCCUGAGGGCUUAUUGGAGGAGCUUCCUCAUGACAGAGCAGAGGAAGAAACCCUGUCUAACACCAAGACUCACCAAGAGAACAAAAGAACUAUGCAGGCAGUAUACAGCAUGAUCU